rnacentral:tRNA from 1 species
CGAGGCCGUCGUCGGGCAGGACGGCACGGCCGCCGUCACCGGCCGGCUGACGGUUCGGGGGGAGAGCAGCCCGCAGUCCGUCACCGCGAGCAUCGCC